CUCUUAGACCUGUGCAAUGCUAUUUUUAAGCACCGCUUCAGGGUGGGAACACAGCAGAGCACUUAGACUUAGUGGUGUGCCGCAGUCAUCUGGGAGAGG
rnacentral:SRP_RNA from 1 species